CGACGAAAUUAUUUCCUCGCUAACUUACGACGAAUUAGCGAGGAUAUAUGCGUUACGACAAACGUAUAACGACGAAACGUGUUUUCUCGCUAAUUCGUCGUAACACUGCUUUUACGACGAAGUAACGAAGAAAACUGCCCUCGUAAAACUUGUGUUUUCUUGUAGUGUAUAUUCAUUAGAUAAAUAUUAAAUACUAGUUUUUCUAUGAACUCAAAGUUCGGAUUAUAUUUAUUUUCAAAAUUUAAAGUUUGAAGCUAUUCACAUCCGGACCAUGAUUAAUUUUAGUUUAUUUAGACACCAGUCAAAAUAUAAAUUAUAAGAAAAUAGCGAUUAAAGUAAUGAAUUUCAUAUCCAUCUGAAUUAAAACAAAAAACUCGAAAACUAAAGAGUCAAAAUCCUCAAAUUUUGAGAAGAGCCGGAUUACUUUAUCACUAAUGGGUUUGAUGAUUUGGGGAUUUUGUCUUUCUAAUUUUUAAGUUUUAGGUUUUAUUUCGGGUCAACUGGAAGUAUUUUUUUGUUUAAUUUGAAUUUUAUUUGGUGUUUGAUGAUUAAGCGUGUAUAUACAGUAAAUCUUAUGAUAUAGGUGUGAACUGAUUUUGAACUUUAAAUUUGAAGUAAAUACGAUUCAAACUUUGAAAUUCAUGGAAAACUGGUAUUUAAUAUUUAUUUAAAGGGUAUAUAAAAUGUAGGCUUAACUUCGUGUAGAUAUGACGGGUAUUUAUUGUGUAUUUAAUAUUUAUUUAAUGGGUAUAUGAUUUUUGAAGGGAAAAUAGAUAAUUAACCAUUUAGAUGAUAAUAAAUUUGUUGAACUUAUAAUAAUGUUUAAUGAAUUGGAUUAUUUGUGCAUAUGAUUUGAUCUCCACUAAUUAAACAAUAUGAUCAUACUUGCCCGUAAUCUUUAAUGGAUAUCGUUCCAUUAUUUGAUUCCAAAAAGAAAUGUUUCAUAAAAUUUGGUUAGGUCAAGUCAGGUGUAGUGUGAACCAAGGUUUAAGUCUAAGAUAAGGUUUACUCUUGUAUUCUUAUGAAAUAAGUUGCAUAGCAUGAGCCAUGCCAUUGCGUUGCACGAGUCCGAGUCAUGUUGUUCAAACUACUUAACUGAUAUUCCUUAAAAACUCAGCAUUCUCACACAUAUUCUUUCAUAUAAGUCUUCAAUGUGAACAAAGGUCUAAGAUAAUGUUUCCACUUGUAUUCUGAAUUUCUCAAUAUGUUGCAUAAGUCAUGCUGUUUUGCUUUGCAUGAGUCAUGGCUAUUCAAACUACUAAUAUUCUAUAAGAACUCAGGAUUCUCAGGCAUAUUCUUUCAUCAGAGCUGGCAUCAAAUAGUUGAUUAUAUAAAAUUCCCGAUGCAAACACCAACAUUUGCAACCUUAUAUUCGAAUCCAUAAGAUAGUUAGGAUUCUCAGGCAUAUUCUUUCUUUCUUUUUUCACCAACAAAAAUGGUUCUGCUUUGUCUUAUUUGCAUCGCUAAUAACGUUUCUCAUAAUAACUACUAUACUAUAGUGGAUAAA